CCUACGGGUGGCAGCAGUGGGGAAUAUUGGACAAUGGGCGAAAGCCUGAUCCAGCCAUGCCGCGUGUGUGAAGAAGGCCUUCGGGUUGUAAAGCACUUUCAGUGGGGAAGAAAGCCUUGGGGCUAAUAUCCUCGAGGAAGGACAUCACCCACAGAAGAAGCACCGGCUAACUCCGUGCCAGCAGCCGCGGUAAUACGGAGGGUGCGAGCGUUAAUCGGAAUUACUGGGCGUAAAGCGCGCGUAGGCGGUCUGAUAAGCCGGUUGUGAAAGCCCCGGGCUCAACCUGGGAACGGCAUCCGGAACUGUCAGGCUAGAGUGCAGGAGAGGAAGGUAGAAUUCCCGGUGUAGCGGUGAAAUGCGUAGAGAUCGGGAGGAAUACCAGUGGCGAAGGCGGCCUUCUGGACUGACACUGACGCUGAGGUGCGAAAGCGUGGGUAGCAAACAGGAUUAGAUACCCUUGUAGUC
rnacentral:rRNA from 1 species